CAUUGUAUGUUCCCCUCUGCUGCUUGGGGGGGAGGAGUUAGAAGGGGGGCAGAGGGGAGGAGGUGUUUUUAAUUUGCUUUAUUUUCUCACUGCUCUAGUCUGUUACCAAUAAGCAACAAAUUAUAUUAAUCUCUGUAAGCUGAGCCUGUUUUGCCUGUGAUGGUAAUUGGUGAGCAAUCUCCCUGUCCUUAUCUUGGCCUUUGAGCCCUGCUCCAUCAUGAGGGAGCGGUUGUGGUAGAGUCCAGCUGUCCAUCAAGCUGAAACCAGCACAUCUGCAACUGGGCUGCUUGCUCUCUUGUUCACUGGAACAAGUUGUGAUUGCCCUAACCACAGUGCUAGCAAAAGGGAUGGAUAGAAUUCAGCCAUCAGCACUGAAUAGCUGCUGUGCAGAAGGACUGAGCCAAAUUAUGGACUG
rnacentral:lncRNA from 1 species